rnacentral:rRNA from 1 species
UGGGGAAUCUUGCGCAAUGGGCGAAAGCCUGACGCAGCCAUGCCGCGUGGAUGAUGAAGGUCUUAGGAUUGUAAAAUCCUUUCACCGGUGAAGAUAAUGACUGUAGCCGGAGAAGAAGCCCCGGCUAACUUCGUGCCAGCAGCCGCGGUAAUACGAAGGGGGCUAGCGUUGCUCGGAAUUACUGGGCGUAAAGGGAGCGUAGGCGGACAUUUAAGUCAGGGGUGAAAUCCCGAGGCUCAACCUCGGAACUGCCUUUGAUACUGGGUGUCUUGAGUGUGAGAGAGGUAUGUGGAACUCCGAGUGUAGAGGUGAAAUUUCGUAGAUAUUCGGAAGAACACCAGUGGCGAAGGCGACAUACUGGCUCAUUACUGACGCUGAGGCUCGAAAGCGUGGGGAGCAAACAGGAUUAGAUACCCUGGUAGUCCACGCCGUAAACGAUGGA